CCUACGGGUGGCAGCAGUGGGGAAUAUUGGGCAAUGGACGCAAGUCUGACCCAGCAACGCCGCGUGAAGGAAGAAGGCUUUCGGGUUGUAAACUUCUUUUAAGGGGGAAGAGCAGAAGACGGUACCCCUUGAAUAAGCCACGGCUAACUACGUGCCAGCAGCCGCGGUAAUACGUAGGUGGCAAGCGUUGUCCGGAUUUACUGGGUGUAAAGGGCGUGCAGCCGGAGAGACAAGUCAGAUGUGAAAUCCACGGGCUCAACCCCGUCGUGCCGUUGAAACUGAUGUUCUUGAGUGGGCGAGAAGUAUGCGGAAUGCGUGGUGUAGCGGUGAAAUGCAUAGAUAUCACGCAGAACUCCGAUUGCGAAGGCAGCAUACCGGCGCCCAACUGACGCUGAAGCACGAAAGCGUGGGUAUCGAACAGGAUUAGAUACCCUUGUAGUC
rnacentral:rRNA from 1 species